rnacentral:rRNA from 1 species
GACGAACGCUGGCGGCGUGCUUAACACAUGCAAGUCGAACGGAAAGGCCCUGCUUUUGUGGGGUGCUCGAGUGGCGAACGGGUGAGUAACACGUGAGUAACCUGCCCUUGACUUUGGGAUAACUUCAGGAAACUGGGGCUAAUACCGGAUAGGAGCUCCUGCUGCGUGGUGGGGGUUGGAAAGUUUCGGCGGUUGGGGAUGGACUCGCGGGUUAUCAGCUUGUUGGUGGGGUAGUGGCUUACCAAGGCUUUGACGGGUAGCCGGCCUGAGAGGGUGACCGGCCACAUUGGGACUGAGAUACGGCCCAGACUCCUACGGGAGGCAGCAGUGGGGAAUAUUGCACAAUGGGCGGAAGCCUGUUGCAGCAACGCCGCGUGCGGGAUGACGGCCUUCGGGUUGUAAACCGCUUUCGCCUGUGACGAAGCGUGAGUGACGGUAAUGGGUAAAGAAGCACCGGCUAACUACGUG